AGUUCUGUGGUGUAUAACACGUCGGAUUGCAAAUCCGAAGAUGUAAAUUAAUUAUUUGCCGGGGCUU
rnacentral:tRNA from 1 species